AGCGUAGACGGUGUGGCAAGUCUGAUGUGAAAGGCAUGGGCUCAACCUGUGGACUGCAUUGGAAACUGCCCGUCUUGAGUGCCGGAGAGGUAAGCGGAAUUCCUAGUGUAGCGGUGAAAUGCGUAGAUAUUAGGAGGAACACCAGUGGCGAAGGCGGCUUACUGGACGGUAACUGACGUUGAGGCUCGAAAGCGUGGGAGCAAACA
rnacentral:rRNA from 1 species